UGCGGAAGGAUCAUUACUGAACUUAAGUAAUUCUCGAAAGGUCGCCGGUAGGGCGGUCCCCCCCUAAAAAGGGGGGCCCCCGAAGGUCCUCUCACACCCCUUGUGUACCUUACCACGUUGCUUUGGCGGGCCGACCCGGUCUCGACCCGGGCGGCCGGCGCCCCCAGCCCCCUCCGCGGGGCCAGGACGUCAGGCUAAGCGCUCGCCAGUAAACAAAACUCCAGCGAUUAUUCAGUGUAGUCCUGAUGAAUUAUUAAAUUAAUUAAAACUUUCAACAACGGAUCUCUUGGUUCUGGCAUCGAUGAAGAACGCAGCGAAAUGCGAUAAGUAAUGUGAAUUGCAGAAUUCAGUGAAUCAUCGAAUCUUUGAACGCACAUUGCGCCCUCUGGUAUUCCGGAGGGCAUGCCUGUUCGAGCGUCAUUUCAACCCUCAAGCUCUGCUUGGUAUUGGGCGACGUCCGCCAGCCGGACGCGCCUCGAAGACCUCGGCGACGGCGUCCCAGCCUCGAGCGUAGUAGUAAAAUAUCUCGCUUUGGAGGACUGGGCGUUGGCCGCCGGACAAUCGACCUUCGGUCUAUUUACUUCCAAGGUUGACCUCGGAUCAGGUAGGGAUACCCGCUGAACUUAAGCAUAUC
rnacentral:rRNA from 1 species